AAGCCAUCUGGCCUAGGUCUUGCCCUGGAUGAAAUGACAACCUCUGGAGAUCCCCCCAAGGAGGGCCUUACCCUCUUUGGGGAAUGAUGAGCGACCUGGCUUUCAGGUAGUUGUAGGUUCCCCUGUGGACCAUUCAAGAAGAGGAUCAGGACACUACAACCAGGUAAAUCUCAAGUUGGGGCAGGGUAGGGUAGAAAGUAUUGAAAAUCUUAGUUCAGAAAGCACAUGAUAUUAGAAUCUUUGGGAUUUUAUAUGUGCUGUGGUGUUGACAAUAUCCUAGGACAUAUGCUAACUCAUCCAUGUGCUAUAAAGGUCCCUUCCUUCCUUGCCUGAGAAUGCCUGGGCAUGUAGCUUGCUAUGCCCCUAGCUCAGUCACCCUUUUUCUUUUUCAGCCCAGAAAGAGACAGAGCUGCAACAUUGUGAAGGAGCUACAGAGCUAGUAACCAGGGUCAGAGGCCCCCAGAAGAGGUAACUGAUGGCGAUAGACAUAGCCCCACCUAUCUGACACUACUUGGUGGCAAUUAACAUCUUCUUUUCUCUCCAGAUCAAACCCAGAUACUGCUACCCAGGAAGAAGAGAACAACUGAGACAAGCCAGCUGGGAGCUAUAUAUGUCAAUGUGAUACCCCGCCAGGCUCAGGAGGGCUGGAACUGUCCUACCUUUUGCUGUGGCAAGAGAAGUCUUGGGCACCAAAGAAGGACAAACUGAAGAAGAUGGCAGAGAGAUGGACAUUCAGGCUGCAAAUUCUGAAAACCUCAGGAUGUGACCUGUGUCCGGGCCUUCCAUACUACACUCCUACAGGAGACAGCUGUUUCUCUUCCCACCCAUACAGUGGAGGUCCCAGAGGAGUCAGCAUAUAUACUAUUCUGGCAGCCAAGAAUCCAGGGCCCAUUCCCAAGAAAAGCAUUGAUGUCUCUCUGCCUGCAAGGAUGCCUAACAGAGACCUGUAAGGGCUGCCUGUGAUAAAGGAAAGGCACUGACAGCAGAACACUUUCUGAACAUAAGCCCUGGGCUGGGACUGCUGAGAGUUCUGUCACCUUUCACCACCAGGUCUAGUAUGUCACUGCGCUCUAAUCAUCCAUCUAGGCUCUAAGAGUAAUAGCUAUAUUGCCCUGUGUGAUGCCAUGCCACAUGGCAGAAGGAGAACUUGCCCUUGUUACUGUCUCCAACAGAGUCUAUCUGUCCUAAUGUUCUGGGUUUCCUUGGUCAUGAAGAAUAUACAUUUGUGUUACCAUGAUGCCUUAAUAUCAUAUAUUCACAUCAUGUAGAUUACCUGACAUGACUACAGAGGCUGACUCAAGCCUGAUGGUAGCUUUCAGAAGGUUCCUUGCCAAGAAGCAGGUGUGAAUGAUUUUUGUGUGUUUGAACAAUGACACAGUUAAGGCAAACAUGCAGACAUGUAAGAUAAUCCUCACUAGGAGGACACAUAUGUGAUGGCAUGUGAAAAUUUUUUCUCAUGUCUAUUCCAGAGUCCCCUUUCACAGACAUUCCUUGGGGUCUAUAUUUUGGGUUCUACUGUUUCUGAUGCUUUGUGUCAAUAGGCUCAGCAGGUUGGUUCUACUCACACAUCAUACACUGAUGACCUGCAUCAGAAUCACCAUUAUGUAAAGAAAGACAAGGGUUCAUCAUUUGAUACCAAGAGCUUCAACACAUGACUGGAGUCUGAUCAUAUAUUUGGACCAGAAGCCAUAUCAUUUUAUUUUUCAUCUCUCUGAGGGUCACAAGUUCUACAGUGAGUAAUCCCUUGUAUGCGUAGGUGUGAGUUCAGGGUCCAGGAGAGCUCCAAUUUACUUCAUAUCCAUGCUGCGAGACACACUGAAUGGUCACAUUAUCACUGGUGGCCAAAGCAGGGCUGGUAGGGCUGUACAGGACUGAGAGGCUUGGAUUGCUGGAGUAGAUACCUAAGAGGCAAGGAAUCUCUGUGUUAAAUGGACACUUACUGUAUACAAUAGCACCAAGUGUUCGGCUGUGUUAUGAGGACAUCACUGAGAGAAAUUCCCUUUUCUGAGGGCCUGCCUGGGUCUGGAGACUAUCUGUGUUCUCUCACUUAUCACUACAAGAGCCAGGGGUUACUAGUUACUAAGCUCUGACCAGCUAGCAGAGGUCUGAUAGUCACAUAGAUGUCUCCCUGCAUUGAAUGAGAAUUUCAGCAUUUCUUCUGGAUUUCAGUAGUAUCUGUGUGCACCACAGAUCUGGGAUUCCAUAUUUAUAUAUUCUUGAAAAGCUGUGGAGCUUCUCUUUAAAUAUGAUGAAUUAACAGUAAAUUUUGAUGCAAAACUUCCUAUAUACAACUUCAUCUUGACAAUGCACAGAAAUACCACAAAGAUAAUCUGAACAUUUCAUUAUGAGAACCAGGAGUCAGGAGAGCUAGUCUGCUUCAUGAAAGAAACAGAGCCAGCAUCUUACCCUCAUGGAGACACAUCAGUUUAUGGGUAUUUUCAUAGACCCGCCCAAAAUAAUCAAUUUUUUUCCUGCUCCCCGUGCUAGAUAGAAAUCCCAAUAGGUGUGUGCUUGGAAUCAAUGUUAGAUGAUAUACAGAUUUAUUCCUGGAUCUCAGCUGCUGUGAUGCCUGGUGUAUGGCCUUUGAAAGGGAUUUGAAAUAAUAUGAGCCAGGGUUUAUUAAAGUAAAAGUAUGAGGGCUGUGUUCUAACUAAAUUUUCAUCAUUGUGAUAAUGAAUUAAGGGCAUGUGCACAUUUCAUCUUCUGUUUCUUUACAUUCCCAUGUAAGUUCUUUUCUUGAUCCCAAAGGAAUUUGGAGCCAACUGGUGAUGGGAGAGAACAUUCUGUGAAGGAAAGCUUGAUCAUUGGACAACCAAAAUCAAUGGCAGGAUUUGGAUAUAAGCCAACUUGAAAAGUUUCCAUGACUUCUCUUUAAAAUAUUUAGUGUUACCAAAUAAAACAGUGAAAUCAUUA